UUUUCUUUUGUUCAGUUGAAGCAUUUCUGAGCUUGGUUGUGUAAUCCUGGAAAAAAAAUAAUAAAGUUAAUAUAAAAAAAUAGUUUGGGAUACAAUUUAAUAAGUUAAAUUGGUGACAAUAAACCAAAAAAUGGAAUACUCACAAUGAUUCCACAAUUAGAUCAAGUGAUACUUCAUCUAAUCCAUAAUGAGAUUCAGUAGCAAUUGUAGUUGUAUCAGUUACUUCUUCAGUUAUUUCAACAACCCCACUAAUACAUAAGAAACCUAAAAUCAAACGUAAUUGUGAAGUCAAAAUUAAAAAUGAAAAGUGCGAAACCACAGGGGAGUUUUUGAAGUUUCCCCUAAUAUAUAACUGGGUACAGGAGUAAAAAAAUAAUGUUAAAAAGGAAGUGUAUAUUGAUCAACAUCCAUUCCCUCAAGCAGUGAAGCAACAUAUAUGCUUUUACUAAUCUACAAAUACAGAGUCAGAUCUAAGAAUUUUUUUCCAUAGUUCAUAGAUACAUAUAUAUACACACACGCACACAUAUAUGCUUCUAGUAAUUUAUAAAUAAAGAUUUAGAUAUACCAAGUAUUUUCCUUAGUUCACACACACACACACACACACACACACACACACACACACAUAUAUAUAUAUAUAUAUAUAUAUAUAUAUAUAUAUAUACACAACAAUAAAAACAUAGAUAACAAUAAAAAUAUAGACAACAUAAAGAAUACAAAAAACAUCUAAAACGUAGGGAGCCUCAGAUAUUAUUUCCAUCCAACCUUAAAAUAUAGGUUGAGGAAGGGACAGCGAACACUAUGAGUUGGUUGCCUAGUAAGUAGGUAGUCUAAACCACCUUCUUCUUCUUUUUUUCAUUCUCUCCAUCCACACUGCUGCAAAAGAAAAUAGUAAGCAAGGUAAGAGAUUUGAUUCAUCUUAAGAUAUAGGUCGAGGAAAGUACAAUGAUCACCAAGAGUCACUUGAAAGUGAAUACUAAGAACAAUCAAAGAAUCACAACAGCCAGAAAAUAAAUGGAAAUUUUAUGGCAAUGCUUUCGAUCCUAUCGCCACCCUUUAUUGUUCUUGAUUAUUUAUGAAUAUUUUUAAGGGUUUUUUUUCUUCUGGUGUUUGUUUAUUCAGUUUUUUCAUUUUCUAACAGCAAGAACAGAACUGUCUAUGUUUAUCAUUGAUCAUCAAUAAGAUUUGGUCAAAAUAAUAUUUUCUCAACAAUAAGUUGUGUUUAUAUCAAAUGUUUCAUUGAUUUGACUCAACACAUCUUCAAUUAGUUUGAGGGGGGAUAAUGGUCGCCAAGAGUUGGUUCCCUCGAAAUUAGACUAUCCAAAAAAAACAUUUCUCAUUUUUUCCACCCUCACUGCCUCAAAAAACAACAAAGGAAGUCCAGUCUACACAAUCAGAGAAAAGACAACAAAAGCAAAAUCAGAAAGUAAGUCCAAACCAUACAAUCAGAGAAAAACCUUAAGAUAUAGAUUGUGGAGGAUACAACGAAAACCAAGAGUUGAUCGCCUAGAAACCAGACCCUCCAAACCGCAUGUCUCUUUUUUUAAAUAUCAUGACAGCUUUCCCCCAAAAGGAAAAAAAAAAGGAAGGGAAAAAGAUCGAUUAUCGAUUAUAUAUUACUGUUUCUAAAUGAACUACCUAUGACAAAGAAGGUUUUUUCUCUAAUAUAUAUCAGAAAAUGAUGUAGUGUUUACCUGAAAUUUAUACAAGCAAAUGUAGCUUUAUGGAAACAUCUGUAACAAUAAGGUGCACGAAGCAGAAUAACUAUAAGCUCAAAAUAACUUGUUUAAACAGAAAUAUAUAGCUCGUGCACUAUGUUAAAGGACUUCAAAGACUAAUGGUAAAUAUUAUAAGAUCUUAAUGAGAAUAUAUUUAAUAGCGAAAUAAAGUUAUUAGAACAAUAUGGCUACCAUUUUAUAUAAUAUCAUAAAAAAAAGUGUCGACAAAAGUCAUACACCAGCUAAAACAUGAUUAAUAAAGUUGUAUGACAAUUAUUUACCAUUCUUAGGAAAAUUAGAUAAAGAAAAACAUAGCACUAUCAAAUUCAACAUAAAAUCAACAAAUUCAUGUAUGCGAAAAAGAAAAGCAGAAAAAUAACUAACAAUUAAUGUCCCAGGGUUAAAAUUGGAAUUACAUUAGCUAUAUAAUAUUUUCAAACGUGUUCAAAUUGAGUUUUAUUUCUUAUCGAAACCUAAUCUAAGAACAUCAUAAAGUACAGAAGGAAUAUACACCAAAACAUUACGAAAUUAUCAACAAAUAAAUAAAAGGAUAAUCAGGAAGGUCUCCAAAUAAACAUUUGUCCUUGUUUACUUAUGAAUAUUUUUAAGGUAUCAUUGUGCUUAUCUUCAUAAUUCUUGCGCAGAAUACAACAAAAAGCAAGAGCUAGAUGCCUAGAGACCAAACCAUCCAAACCUCAUGUCUCUUUUUUUAUAUAUCAUCAUAGCCUCCCAAAAAAAUAAAAAAGAAUAAGGAAAAAGGAGAACACAGCAGCAAGAAGGGUGCUAAAAGAGGUCCCAAUCCAAACAUCCAAAAAAUCCACAUAAAACACAACCAAUUAUAAUAACAAUCUCCUAAAAAGCAACCAAAAACAAUAAAGCGUACCCUAAACCAAUAUUAGAACAAACCAACAUAAAAAAAUGCAUACUUUUCCAAACCAUUCACCGGAAACAGACCCAAUAACAAAAAACCACUUAGAUACGUCUAUUAUACUAUACGGCAACUGGGCGGACAUUAAAUGUGGUCCAUGCCAAAUUACGCAAACCUUUUAAUUAGUCUUCAGAAUUCGAACCAAAUCUCUCCAGCUAUUCGUCAACCCCAAUAUUUGCUAUUUGAUUUUUCAAAAAUAAAUAUUUGAAGCUAUAUUAGGAAGAAAACACGGUAGCAAUGAGAAUAAUGGUGCAACAACACGUCAAACAGUGCAAUACGCAUCUCAUACCAGUGCAAUCCUUCCGCUCACAGUGCAACGCGGUGUCAACCAGUGCAAUAUGCCACUCCCCCAUCAGUCAAUCUUCUUCCGCUUUGUCGACCACCCCCUCUCCGGCCCAUAGGAUGAUGAGGGGUUUAAAAAUAGAAUAAGCAGCACGGGAUAUCAGAGAGUGGGUGGUUGGUAGAAUAGUAUAAUCUAAGGGGUGGAAUUGGUCAAAGCGAUAGGGAUAGAUCUAAUGGUGGAAAACUUAUACACACCACGUGCUUGGUGAUUUUAAAGCAUGAUAGCCAGACUAUAUAUAUAUAGUUAGGUUGAAAUGCUUCUAAUAGCACCAAAUCAUUAAUGCUAUUACGUUUUCGGCCCUUAAAUAAAAUAAUGUGCAAUUAAGAUGAUAGUGGUCCCUUAAGGUUGAGCGGAUGAUUGGUUGAAUAGUUUGAUCUAAUGAAUAAAAAUGGUCAAAAUGGUAGAUCUAAUGGCAGAAAACUAAAAUAGAAGGUUGCAGAAGACUUGGCAAUCCAAAGGAGAAAGAAAAAACGACACAAAAUGAGAACCCCAAAAUGUAAAAAAAAAUGUACAAAAAAAAAGGAGAGGUUCAGGAAGCGAGAUGAGGCUUCUGCAAAAAACACAGUUUUAAAAGGCAGCGAAACAGGAUCAAUAAAAAAAAAAUUACCGAACAAAGACCAGCAAGUGAUUGCCUCGAAACAGGCCGUCCAACCUGCUGCUAGCAUCAGUUAGUCAGUCCAAUGCGUGCAUCCAACCAACAGGUGGUUGCCUCUGAACAGGCCAUCCAAACCGCUGCUGGCUUUGGAUAGUUGGAACAAUACAGUUAAUUAAGAUUUUGUGUCAGAACACAAAAAAGGCAUUUAAAAUUAUACGCCAAAGCAAGUAAUUAAGAUUUUGUGCCUAUUUCGAAAAAGUAACUAAAUAAGUAACAACAAUACAAAACCUGUGACGAAAUAAGUACAGGAUGACAUAUAUAAAAGUGAAAAGUUUUAACAAAGAAGCAGAAGAUGUACACAUAUAUGGUCAGAUGCACACACAAACGCAGCACAAAUAGUAUCACACACACAUGUGCAUUAGUACGAAGAAAAAAUUAAGUACCAGAUGAUGUAACUAUAUAAUGGGAGAAGCUUACAAAGUUGACUAAAUACCCAAAAAGUGCCAGAUUAUGUAACCAAGUAAUAGGAUCCAAGCUUAAUAUUAAUCUACAAAUUCCUGUAAACUCAUACAAUUAUGGUAAAUAUGAAUAAGUGAUUUUGUUGCCCUAAACGAUACCUAACCAUAUAGACUACAUUAGUAUAAAAAACCUCACAAUUCUAACUGUCCUAAUCCAAUAAUUACUUAUUUGUAGGAUCAAAAUGGAGUGCCAUUAAUAGUGUAGCUCAUUUGGUUUCCAAUUAAUGUAGGAUUGCACAACUUUUGCAAGCCACGCCAUCCUUCAAACAUUGAUAGGAACCGUCAUCAUCACCGGCACCAAGUUCACAUAAAGUUUGUUCAAGUAAUAUUCAAGUCCAGGAGUACUUGAUAACAUUCUAAUUAUGAGAAGCGUCGGCAAAGACAUAAAUGAUGGAUUAGUUAUGUUUAUCCAAAGUUCACAUAAAAUUUGUUCAAGCAACAUUCAAGUUCUCAUCGUCAGUCACUAUAGUAUUGAUCACCACACAUAUUAUUGUAUUGGAAAGUGACAAGCAACAAAGAGCACAUAGAAUACAAAUUAAGACUCUUAAAAAUAUAUGAACAUCACAAACAUAUAUAGUAUUCAUUGUGUACCAAAAUAACGAUCUUAUUGAUACCUGAGGGUACUUGCAACAUGUAAAGUCCCUGCCACAGUUAUUUAGCACUGUUUCAAAAAACUUUAACAAAAGCUAGUUGACUAAACUAUCUUGCCUAAUUUAAUAUUGCAUAUAAGAACUUGAACUUUGGUAUAGACAAUACCUCACCUAUAUAAUGUAGAUGAUCUAGUAUUAGAUAUAUAGAAAA
rnacentral:lncRNA from 1 species